rnacentral:lncRNA from 1 species
AAAGCUACAAGCUUAAGGGCAGCAUUUCAUCCAUUCCAUCCAAUUCCAUUAUUCUCAUCCUGCCACUUAAGCAAAUUCAAUGUUAUGUUGCCCAACUUGUCAUCUAGUGAAAUGAUUAAUAUCAUGUGAAGCGCAUUUUCCAAUUAAACGAGUGGCCCGCGAACUCACUCUUUCUUCGUCCGAGGAGAAAUUGACAUUAUUUCAGCUUAUCAAUCGCACCUAAGAGCCCAACCGACAAAGAUCGCGCUAGUUCAAAGAUCGCACGGACCUGCACAGCUAGCUAGCACGCCGGAAGCUCCGUAGCCAAAAUCGACGCGGAGCAGAAGAGCGUCACCUGGAUAAGGCUCCUCCCAUCGGAUCUUCUCGGGGCAGGUCUCGACCGGCUUUUCGGACUGGACACGCCGAGCGACGGCGAACUGUGCGAGAACUUGAAGUAAAGACCGGUGGAGCAUUGGCACGUCGGCUUGCCGCCGCGCCCGUCCCGACGGCGAGACGAGGCGGAGCUGCGGAGAGGGGUGAUGGCCGGAGGGAAGACGGAGGAGUCACUGAGAGCUCCAUGUGAGAGAGAGAGAGAGAGAAAGAGAGAGAGGGUCUGUUUUGGCUCUGCUUCUCGUCCACAGGAACCUUAACGCGGGAUUUUGUGUUUUGGUGGUUAAUUUUCAUUUACCCUUUGACUAUAAAAAAUCACAAGUCACUUUUUCAUGUUUUCAUCACUUUAACACGAGUGCUCGCAUUCAAUAUCUAAUAUCUACAUCACUUUGAUUUCAAGUUUUCCUCGAACAAUUACAUUCGAUAAAUACGUCUUAAGACAUCUAGCUUAAAUUCACAGGCAGGGUCCCUUUGAUUAGAGACACUAUUGCAGAUAUUUGGCAAGCCUUUCACUAAAGAGUUAACUCUCUUCAUGAAGUGGGUGUGGUGAAGAGAGAUUAAUCGAAUCUAAACCUAUCGAACCGUAGGUCGGGUUAGAUUUGGGUCAUCUUAUAAAUGACCCGACCAAAAUUGGCCCAUUUAAAAUAAGAUCUUCAAAAUUGAAGUGACCAAUAUAUACAUUUAUGCUUUAAAUAGGUCGUAUAUGGGUUUAAGAUCCAUUUUGACAAAGUUUAGUCAACCUUAUGAGAAUGUGAGCAAGUGUGGGGGAAGAUCGGAGCAAGAUUGAAUAAACCAAUUAGUUGGCGUAAGCGAACUCUCCCUCUUUUUCCCUCUCUCCCCCUCCUUUAUUUUUGACAAAUUUAUGGAUCUAAAGUUAAAGUUUUCAAAUCACGUUUCUUUUAUUGUUUUCGUGUACUAGCAGUGUCGACUCUCUCUCCACAUUUAAAUCAGCACGAAAUGUUCUUUCUGCAAGUGAACGCCGGAUAUUUCAAGUCCAAAGGUUCUUAAAUGGAGCAAGUAAUGCUUUGCAUCGCCAACUGUAGAUGAUAAGGCUUCUCCUAGUGCUAAAAUCCCAUGCUCAAGAGCUUCAUGUCUAGUGUCACAGAGGUGAAUUCAAGUCAAGGCCAAUGUCUAUGAACAUUGGUAACUCCAUGGAUGUUUGUCACCUUUUCCCUCUUACUGUUCUUGUUCCGUUCCUUCUGUAUGGUUGUGGACUGGAGAUCGACGAUUCUAUGCUCGUUUCAGCUUUAUGGUUCUCUUCUGAGUUUCUUCUUACUGAGAUGCACUUCAGAGUUUACAUUUAGAAAGUCGUAUGAUUGCUUCUGCCGGCAACUUCCAGUUUGUUUCUUGCAUGAAGUGAGUUAUGUACUCGUCAAAAACUUCAAGAAAGCAUGUGAUGCGACGGAAUUGGCAAAGUGAAUGUGAUUAUAGUGCACUGCACUGCACUUUAUUUUGAGCUCGACAAAUUAAUUUCCAUUACAUGCUUGUUAGAAACUUAUUUUCGUUCGUAUUAGAAAGGGUUUCCAGGAAAUAUUACUUGAUUCGUACUACUUAACCUUGUGAAGCCAUCAGCCACAGAUUAAGACAGAUAAUUAUCUAUGAAGUCAAUCCUAGAAACCACAUCCACACAGCAUCACAUGCCCACUUGGUUCAAAUUGAAAGCUUGUACGAAACUGGUACAUCCACUGCACAUAAACCAUCCAAGCCCAGAUGCUUUGGUGAACCGGACUUCCAUUAAUUGACAAUCCUUUGCGCAGCACGUGACACUAAUCACGAAGCUUUAUCUAAUUACUCCAUCUGGAUCUCCUCCGUUAUCAGUAGGUUAUCGGUAUGGCUCCCUUAAAAGCAUUAUAUGACAAAGCUCUUGGAACCCAUAUAUGUUAGAAUGAAGUUUUGGAGAAAGAGGACUUAAAAUCGCACUGAUCGCUUGAAAUAUAGUUCUAGUAAUUUGGAAUGGGCUCAAAAUUGCACAAAGUAGUUGUGGAUAAGCACCAUUUGAGUAUUUACAUGCACACGAAUGCCGUUUAAUUUUCUUUUUUCCUUGUUCUGCGUUAGAGUAUUCAGGAACUAUGCCAACAACCAUUGUCAACAUAGAAUGGUGCAAUAAAUUUCUCUUCUGAUUCAAAAUCGUGGUAUAAUAUGUAUCCCUAUAUUCCAGUUAUGGAAUAGAUGAAAUAAAUCAGAAAAUGUAUUUUUGUUCAAGAAUGAAAUCUUAUGGGAACUAUGUAUAUCCAGUUUAUCCUUCAGAACCAUACCACAUCCCAAAUCUGAUAAAAUUGGAUGAGUUAAGAUGGUAUUUCGUAAAUAUGUAAUUAUCCUGAAUAUAUUAACUAUUUAUUUAUUUUCCAAUUGCUUGGAAGGGACAAAAGAAAUAUCUUAUUCUCUCUUCAACAAUUUUUGGUCUUUAGUGAACCUCUAGUAGGAUUCGAACUCACAUAUGUAGUUUCAAGCAUGGCAUCGGAUAGUAGGCCUGCCAAUCGUCAUGAUCCCUUUCAGUGGUCAAUAACUUCAUUCUCAAAUCCCGCCCUGAAUAUUGAUGCUCAAGUGUCAUGAAUCUCUGCCUUGUUCUAAUGCCUUGUCAACUAAUUUGGCAAGUAGCGACCAGCUGCCAAUGAAAGCCAUUUCCUGGCUUAAUUAUUAGGUCCAAUUUAAUACUCCUCGAGUUAGCCCUGUCCUAUUGUCUAACAGCUCUUUAUAAGCCGUGGCGUACUAGCAUCUGUUCCAUUUUAGCACAUGCUGUUUGUGUCCGAUGCUCAGUAUCUUUCUGAAACACUGAGGGUCAUGAAUAACACCAUCACUCAAUUUUCUUUUUUCUUUUUUUUUUUUGGAUGAGAGAUUUUGUCAGGAAUGUGUUUUCCAACCCAACUGUGGACGUGCAAUAACUACCAGGCUCCCAAGCAUAUUGAUUGCAGACCUUGUCACCCAAAUUGAGAUGCGCGACGAGGGUCAAGGCCAAACAUUUUGGGCUGGCAAUCUCUCAACUCUUCUAAACGCCGGAAAUCCCUCAGGUGCAUUGAGUAUGUGGAGUUUUGUCCGUAAUGAAUUUUUCUGAUGCAUUGUCCAUUUCGUGCAAAAAGGUAGUUGCUACCUUGCUUCAAACUUAGUCUAUUUAGCAUCAAUAUUAUGGCCGGACCAUUAAUUAAAAUCAAGGAAAUUACAAAACAAUUCAAACUGAUGUUUCCUUUUUACUUACCUUUUUUCUGAAGCAGUGUCUGCAAUUUGACUCUUUUGUAAUAUUGAACAGCGGCUCUACAAGUAUCGACACCAAAAAUCAUUUAAAAUUUGUUCCAUUAUUUCUAAUAUUCAGGAACUCUUUUUCCAAUUUUCGAAAUUGUGGAGGGAAAACAGCACAUACUUCUAAUCCAAUCAUUCUCAUCCUUGCAGGAGGGCGAAAGAGUGGGCAUCUAAUACAGGGAUCAAGCAUUGAAAAGGAGCUUAUUCUUCUCUGUGCACAUAUUUGUAUUACAAGAAACAGAGUAACAAAGAAAGGAAUGUAGUAAAGAUUAAAGAGAAAGGUAGCAGAAUUCAAGCCACCUUUAUCUUUCAUCAGACGAAUGUAUUCCAAAUGUAAUUGGAACAGUAUCGAAUCGCUUGCAGAUUUUCUCCAAGAAUUGGAUGAACCAUGCAACAAUUUGGAAUAACGUUGGACAUACUCCAUUGCACCAUGUGUUUUCCUAUGGCUCUGCCUAUAUAACCUGGCAAAGUCAUGAUUCUUUGCUAUCCUUUUCCUGGUAACUUAAUUCUUUUUUGCACAGCGAUUAUGCCAAACCUACUCGAAAACCAAUAACACCAAUCACAACCAUGACUGAGUUUGUCUCUAGCAUCCUUGGAACUCUUGUGGAGAAACUAACUUCAUCGGCUGUUGAAGAAAUUCAACUGGUCUGUGGCGUCAAGGAUGAUCGAGAGAAGCUCAAGAACACGCUAGAGAUGAUCCAGAAGGUACUCAUCGAUGCUGAGCAGAAGCAGAAAAAAGAGGAAGCUGUGAGGCUUUGGUUGUUGAGGCUAAAAAACUGGUGCUAUGACACCGAGGACGCGCUAGACGAAUUCGAAGCUAGGGCUCUGUGGAGGCGAGUGCGGUCCACUGAGCACUUGACCCUCAAAAGGAAGGUAUGCUACUUGUACUCGUGGAUAUCCGAGAUGAUUUUGCAGUUUAAGAUGGCACAUAAUAUGAAAGAACUAAGAAAGAGUCUUGACGGGAUCGAUAAAGAUAAAACUCAAUUCAACUUGUCCGCUGAUAUUCUUGAAAGGACCAUAGUUCCGCGGAGGAAAACUCAUUCUUUUGUACCCACUUCGAAUGUGAUUGGAAGAAACAAAGAAAAGGAAAGCAUAAUAGAGUGGUUGAGAAGUGAUGCUGAAGCUAUAGAAGUCUUUUCAAUUAUCGGAAUGGGAGGUGCUGGAAAGACAACUCUUACUAAGUUGGUAUACAAUGAUGAAUGGGUAAACGAGCAUUUCAAAAACAACCAAGUUUGGUUAUCCAUGCCACUAGAAUUCAAAAUUGAAAAUAUAAUAAGAGGCAUCAUCAAGUCUCUUAGUGGCGAAGCAAACGUUGAUAACUACAACCUUGACAUGUUGCAAGAGCGCCUAAGAAAUCUAGUGAAGAACCGAAGGUGUUUGUUCGUAAUGGACGAUGUGUGGGCAAUGAGUAGGAAUGAUUGGUUGGAAUUGACAGAUUUGUUAGGAGGACUUUCCAAAGGGAGUAAAGUCAUCCUGACUUCACGGGAUCAAGCCAUCGCCAAAAAUAUGGGCACUGUUCGCUUGCUUCAUUUGGUCAACCUUUCAUCGGAGGAUUCUUUGACUUUGUUCGUGAAGUACGCAUUUGAUCAAGGGCAAGAGAAGAAUCACCUGGACCUUAUGAAAAUCGGCAAGGAAAUCGUGAAGAAGUGCGGGGGAAAUCCUAUGGCACUGAGGGCCCUGGGGUGCUUGUUGUAUUCAAAGAACAACCAGCGUGAUUGGGCACAUAUAAGAGACAGCGAGACAUGGCAAUUACCUUCAUUAGAAAUCUUACCUUCAUUGAGAAUAAGCUAUGAUCUAAUGCCGUCUUACUUGAAACGAUGUUUUGCUUAUUGCUCGAUAUUCCCGAAGAACCAUGAGUUUGACAACAUUGAGUUGAUCGAACUGUGGAUCUCUAACGGGUUUAUCCAAUCCAGCAGAAAUAAUCAGGAGCUCGAAGAGAUUGGACGGCAGUACUUGGAGGAGCUGUUAUCUAGAUCAUUCUUCAAUGUUGUCAGAGACAAUUAUCCCAUCCUAUACUUCGAAAUGCAUGACCUCAUUUACGAACUUGCCAUUUCGGUGGCACAAACCGAAUCAUCCAACAUGAAAGUGUGGACGCAGGAUAUUUCCCCAACCAUUCGGCAUGUAUCAUUUCCCGCUCUAUCUGGUGUACCAAAAGAUGAACUGAGUGGCUGCUUCAACAAGCCAAGUCGCAUUCGUACCAUCAAGUGUCAGAAGUUGGGAUCCUCUGACUCCGAGGAGUUCUUUCUGGAGACGUGCAUUUUGCGAUUUAAGCACUUGCGAGUGCUAUGGCUGGAGGAUUCUAGCUUUGACCUACUGCCUAGUUCCAUUGGUGAUCUAAAGCAUUUGAGGUAUCUCAAUUUAUCCUUUGGGACAAUUAAGAAACUCCCCAAAUCGGUCUAUGAGCUUCGCAAUCUGCAGAUCUUAGAUCUUGCCAGGUGCGAGAAUCUCGCGGAAUUGUCCGCAGACAUCAAAAAUAUGAUCAACCUCCGCAGUUUGUAUAUAACCACGAAACAAAAACAUUUCCCGGAGAGUGGAAUAGGACGCGUGACUUCUCUGCGGCGGCUAUUCAUUGUGGGCUGCGAGAAUUUGGAGGCGUUGUUUAAUGAUAUCCAAUCGCUCACGUCGCUCCGUAUGUUGCGGAUUAUGGAGUGUCCGAAGCUGGCCUCCUUACCACAAGGCAUCAAGAAUCUGAAGGCGUUGGAGGAUCUCUACAUUUGUUACUGCGAGAGCUUGAGGCUGCCAGAAGGCGACAGUAAUGAACCAGGCUCCAUGUCGAGCCUUCAAUCCUUGGUACUCUGGCGUCUACCGGAAUUAGUUUCGUUGCCCGGGUGGCUCGAAGGUUCUGCAAGUACACUGCGGACGAUAGCCAUUUUCGAUUGUCCCCAGUUGAGCGCAUUGCCUGAGUGGCUGCAAAAUUGUUCUUCUCUGACAAAACUGGAGCUUAGGUGGCUUCCCGAAUUGUCCUCUCUGCCAGAUGGCGUUCGCCUCAUUCCCACAUUGAAAAUAUCCGAGUGCGAGAAAUUGAGCAGUUAGUGGAGAAGAAGCUGAUUAAAAUUGAUUCAUCGGUGUAAGCAAACUCCGAAGGAAUCCUCUCUCACGCUUGGUUUUCCAUAUUUAUGUCAGGAACCAAAGUCCUUUCUUUCCAUAAAAAAGAAAUGUAUGUUUCAAUAUCGUCCUUGAUAAACCCUGUUUAUCAUCAAGCAAAUUUAAAAUAUUUCAUUUCGAUAUUUACAGUUUCGACAUUUAAAAUUCACCACCGGUGGAAAACCAACUCCACGCACGGUUGGGGUCGAACGAGAAGUUAUAUUAAAAAAAAAAAAAUAACAAGAAGAGGAAGAAGCUUAAAGUCUUCGAACGGGAUAUCUAACGACACGUAUGUGAAAAUUAUCCAAGUUGUGUUUUUUCAAGAAAAAUUGCAAAGUGGCCCUUUAAUUUUUCUCUUUGAUAUAUUACAAAGUUUUAAAAUGAGUAGAUUUGGCAUCAUGGUCAUAUAUGUUCGUAUCUUUAAGAUGUCAUUCGAAACUCUCUUUUUAGAUGGGUAAAAUGGAUUAGAUAACCUCGACAACUAGCCCUAAUCCACAUUUCGCUAUCAUUUCAAUGCAAAUUAUUAUCGUGAAUAGUCUUGGAUCAUUGUUACUCGAUCCCAAGCAAUAAUCAAUUAGUCCUAAUUAGCAUAUAUUGGACUCGAGUAGCCUUCAGUCAAACAUUAGGUCAGCAAUGGUCUGUCCUCGACUGGUGCCGAUAUGUCGUACAUCAUUGUCAAUUAUCCCAUAAUGCCCUCCUUUAAUCCCCUCGAGCAGAGUCGGGUGUUACCAACGGAUUCCAAUUUUCAAAAGAUUUUACAAUUUACAUAGUCAAUUUACACUUGCAUCACUAACGAUCGCACGUUAGAGAGCUUAAUGCUAAACAGAAGCAUAAAUGGCAUUGCUGCAAAUGCAGAGGAGCCACUUUUGCCCUGCAGAUAGCUUCGCAUACUUUUUCGAAGAAUUUGACUUAAAAGAACGUUGUUUAUGAAAUAGACAGACCAAAAGCCACCAAAUGAGCAAUCAUUUGAAUUGUAUGCAUUGCCAAUUUUAAUUCCUAAACGUGUCAAAAAAGAGAGGGAGUUUGCUUACACCAAUGAUUUUAUUAAUUAUCUUCCUUCCGCUGGUACAAAUCUCCAAGACAGGAGCAAUCUUGCUCCAAUCUCCACUUCUUCCAAUCUCCACUUCUUCCAUAUGUGGUCGUAAAGCGAGAGUCACGAAAGCUAUGAUACCAAUUGAUGAAAAAGACACGGGACUUACUUAAAGAAAACACAUGCCUUUUAUUGGAUAAGCUCUCUACAAUACCGAUUGAGAGAACUCCUUACACAUACUCAUAUAGCACACGGAUAUUUUCUAAAAAGAUAUCUUUAUAGAUAUUUCUAGAGUGGCCGCACAUUUUCACACUCUUCUUAUAAGAAAAUAUCUUAUGACACAAUGUCUAGUUAUUUAAAUAUUUAUUCGCAACUAUCUUCUUCUUUAAGAUUGGUGCUCUGCUCAAUUGUCCCGCAAUUAAUUAUCCACAGCUCGUGUGGAAACGGCUUUUCUUCAGAUUCCAAGGCAUGGCGUGGCAGCCAACAAUGCAAUUAAAUCAAGACACGAUAAGUAAUAUGAUUUCAAAACAUCAAAUUUUAAUUCAUGAACGUGUCGAAAAAAAAGUGGGGGAAAUUUCUUGCAACUUUCUCAUUUGGCAUUUUUACAAUCUUAAUUCAUGAACAUUUCAGAUUUUUAUUAUUAUUUUAUUUUCUUCUUUUUCUUCUUCUUUCUUUUUAUUUCUUUUUUGUCCCUUUUUUCCCUUUGCCGGCCACCACCAGACAUUUCAGGCUUCACUCAGGGAUGACCAGUGGAGGGAAAAAGAAAAAGAAAACAAAAGAAUGGAAUAAAGAAAAUAAAAAUUAAUAAAAAUUCAAAUAAAUUUUAAAAUAUUAUUAAAAAUUGUCUAUGUCAGUAUCGACCAUGUCAUGUAGGACUGUCGCAUCAAUGUCAAUAAUUUCCAAUAAAAAUUGGUGGGAUAAAUCUAAUUGGCAAAAUGUGAAAAAAGUUUAUAGAAAUGUUUAAAACAAUAGUUGUAAAACUUUUUGGACAAUAUCUCCAUUUUCAAAUUUGCAUCUUUGCGGAUAUGGUUGGACUAGUUGGUUUUCACUUUCUUCGCUACAAGGACACUUAUAUGAAGCUUUCAAAUAAUUCUCAGCGAUGGGAUGGCCAAAACUUGGGACUAGUAAAAUUAGGGAAUACAAGGGAAGCGCCUUCCUCCAUGCAUUCCCGUGCCAGAUCCAUUUCUUUUGCGCGAUGGCUCAAACCGAAGGAUCUCCUCUUGUAGAGACAGUUCCAUGUCUAAAUCAAAAGUCUCCUCCUUGAAUUUAAGAUAUACCUGAAUUGGUCAUUUCAAAAGACGUAAUAUUUCGAUCUCUUAAGUGAAGCAGAGUUGUAGUUUGCGUAUGCAGCCCCCUUCGAUGACUCGUACGAUCCACCCAAACAUCAGAUGGCGAUGUCAUCUUAUUGGAACUAGCACGGCAAAUAACGCAAUCGGUGAAUCUUCCAUAAUUUUCGGAAACAUUUGAACGUUCUGUUCUUUUCUAGAAGUCAUGAAACAUUUUUAAAUAAUGAAAAAUGGUUUUGACAAAAAAAAAUUUGUAUUAUUGACGCAAUCUGUUCAAUAUAAAUACUGAUGGUUCGAAUGUCUGAUCUGUAUUCUUUGAACGGUUUGAUACGAUUCUUGAAGAAAAUAGACUAGCACAACCAAUAUUUGGAAAAUUUUAAUAUCUAUUUAUUGUUCCGAAAAAUAAUAUUUGUUUAACAAAAUCGAGUAGUUCAUAUGUUAUAUGACGCUAAGUAAUUUAUAGGCCAUUGGGGUGCGUAUAGGGCCCAUGGACCCAAAAUUCGGGUCUCGUAAGGCAAUUUUGUAGUUUUGUACCGAACGGACUUUUGGGCCUAUUUAGCCUUUACUUCUAAAUAGUGCAAUUUCCAGUGAGGGACAUAAAUCAUCAUGGCAGGUAUUUUGUUUUAUAAGAAAGUAUAGCAUUUUGUGAUACCGUACUGAGUUUAAUUUAACUUCCUAUGAAUGUUGUCCGCAAACAUUCUAGAAAUAAAAGUCAUUCACAAUGGUGAUGGAUAUGCCGGUAUGCGGUAUUGUGAUGUGGAUUUGAUGCUCAUUGUCGACAUAUGUAUUGAGACAUGAUAUGAUGUAUGUGUGCAUUGGCUUUUAUUUCAAGGCUUAAUCAUAGCCUAUGUGAUUGUGGAGGCUUAAUCAUAACCAAAAUGGUCUUUUGGUAUCAUUACAUGGUGAAAAGCGUGAUCAUCAUAUUUUCUUAACAUUAGUGAUCGAAUAAGUUGAGAUAAAUUGAGAUCUCACUUCACAUUUCUACGUUUGGAAAAAUUUUGAGUCUUACGGUUUUCGCGAAAAGUAAGGUCUAAGUUUAUCUCCCCGAGUUGCCUAGACACUCCACUUUUAAUUUCACUCCAAUUUAUUGCUUUUGUUAACUUAUUUUAUCAAGUGUUUCUCCACGUGCCUGAUGUUUUUUUCCCCCACUUUGUAAGUUCUUUCCGAUUUACUGUAAUAUCACAAGUACACUCCACUUUUAAUUUCACUCCAAUUUAUUGCUUUUGUUAACUUAUUUUAUCAAGUGUUUCUCCACGUGCCUGAUGUUUUUUUCCCCCACUUUGUAAGUUCUUUCCGAUUUACUGUAAUAUCACAAGUCAUAUUUUAUGUCGUCACUUUAAUACAAGUAUUUGCAUUCAAUAUCUACAUCACUUUAAUUUAAAGUAUUCCCCGAAUACAUACAUUCGAUAAAUACAUCUAAAACAUCUUGCUUUAAUUGAUAAGUUUUUCAUAUAAUAGAGAGACAUAAUACUUUCAUAUGUUAUAACGAUCGUCUUAUUUCUUGUAAGUUUUCAGCUCAAUUAGCAAGUUAACGUCUAGUUUUAUAGCAAAUUAGAAUAGAAUUUCAAAUAAGGUGGAAAACAAAAUCACCGGGCAUUUGAGAAAUAAUAAUUUAAUAAAACCAAGAAAUAGGAGUGAGAUUAAGGUUCAGACAAUUCAAAAGAAAGAUCAUUGUUUGCAAAUACCAAUCUAACCUAUCUGGGAAUUUUAUAUUUCUCCAUGCAUUGCUGCCCAAAGCAAGAAAUUAAUGGGUCACUAGGCCCAACGCAUUCUAUGUUCGCCAUUUACAUUGGGCUGGGCCGGUGACGCCCACUCAAAAUAUCCUAAAUGAUGAAUAACUUCCUUGCUGACAAAGCUAAUUGCAUUUUAGACUCCAUUUAUUUUCACAAAAAUAAAUGAUUUAAAAAACAAAUUUUCUUAAAAUUGUUGUUUGUAUCUUUUACAAAAUGAAUAAACAAAAAAUGCUUUCAUCAUUUAUGAAGAAUGCCGAGACAUAAAUUGUUGUAGAUGCCAAGAAUAUUUUUCAUUGACUAACAAUUUCUGACGAUACCAACAAACGACCAUUUAAAGGCAAAUAUUUUUCAAAUCAUUCGUUUUUCAUGAAACAGAUACACCCUUAAUUAAAUUGUAGAGAUUAACUUGUAACUGUAGACUCAAGAGUAGAGAGUGAUGGUUAAAGUGCUAAUCAAUGAAAUAUAGCCUUUGCAUUCAUUUAAAAUUAAUUCGAGUUAUUAUUAAUGUUCAAAGGUAAUUUAAGUUGAGAGAUCGAAAGAGGAACCCUUCCCUUAAAAGGAUAGUAUGGAUGACUAUCAGGAACGAAAUAAUCCUUUUUUUUGAAACCCCCUUUGUUAGAAAGAAGAAUAGGAACGAAAAAAAAAAAAAAAAGAUCGAAUUAAUACACUAUAGAGAUUGAGACUUGAUAUUUCGUUUAUUUUAUUAUAUCUAGUCAAACUGUAACUCCUUCAAACCGAACUAGAAACAAGGAAAACAUUAAAUUUGAAAACUACACAAUGCACAUGCAAAUCAUCUCAGAGUCGUAUUAUCAGACAUUUAACAGAACAGUCAAGUCUAAAGUUCACGACAUUAACUUGAAGUACUAGACUAGGAAAGACCUCCGGUUGCAUAAACAAUUUCAAAUUUCUCGACUUAUGUCUUGCAUCUGACAUUUGCUAAGCCAAAAAAUUCACUAAAAAAUAGCUGGAUGUAAACAAAUAAACUAACCUUAGAUCAAAGAAGAAAAUACCUUUCGAUUAAAUUGAAGACACAUACCAUUCGGAUAAAGGAAUUAUUAAGUCCAUCUCAUAGCAUAUUCUUUCAUUUCAGCCCAUUGAAAAAUAAUCCUCUACUCAUUGAAAAGCCCCACUGAGCCAAUGAUACGGCAACACUUUUAAAAAUGCAUUGCAAAUCACUCGUACAAAAAAGUUACAAGAAGGCAAAGGUAGAGAGGGAGUUCAUUAACUUCAUGAGUGAAGUUGAACAAUGAAACUAAGAGCUCAAAGUAGAAAUGACUGGAAGAAUGUGAAAAUAAAGAAAGAGAAUAAAGAGAUAGCAAGCAGAUACACCAAAGGUCAAUAUCGUUUUCUCCCCUUUACAUUAAAAUGGUCAAUCUUAUGAAGAGUGAUUUGAUAGAAACACGCACAUUUAAGAUUCCAUCACCAUGUACACCCACCAGAGCUUACUUGUAAUUGAGCUCCCAUAAUAUGAACAGAAUGGCAACAUUCACAUAAUUAAGGUACAAACAUGGCCAACCACAUUGAGAAGUGUUUAUUUUAUCUACUGCCCUUCUGAUGUUAUGUUUACCCUGACCAGGUAGCAGGGUGUUGGCAGGUGCAAAUGGAUGCUUUAAUUCCUUCAUACCUCUGAAUUUGGGACAUGUAGAAUAUGCAAAAGUAUCGCAAGUACUUGGAUAAGUCAAUUUAUAAAAGAAUACACUAUUUUGCAUUUUACAUGCAGCAUCAUAAGUGUGGAGUCUCUGGACAGUUUAGGACUUGCCAAACGUUUUGACAAUUCUUUUUCUAAGAUAUUGCGAUGAAGUAUCCGUCAUAGCCUUAAAGGUCAUAUACCAAUACUUUAUUAGUUAGGUUGCCAAUACAAGUACAAUAUCCCCCAAAAAAGAGUCGAACAUAGUCCUCCAGCAAGGCACAAAAAGAUGAAGUAAAUUUAAACUACUCAAUUCUACGGAAAAAAAAAAAGUCAGAAAAUAUACUGUGGCAAUAAUAAGAAAUGCUGCGACAGGAAAUCUCUUCAUCCUAAAAGGAGGAACAGAGUAGAUGAUUCCAAGAAAAAGACCCAGACUGUAAAGAGAAGUGAUGAAUGAUCCAAAGUUCGAAGCAACAAUCGACAGGCCAGUCACUGCAAAAAAAAUCACCAAAAGCCAGGCAUGUUGAAUAGAAAGAUCUCCUGCUGCUAUAGGCAAGUAAGGUUUGUUGACCCUGAAAUAAGAUAAAAAAAGAUACUAAUCAUAAAACUGGAGAGGAAGUUGAGGACAUUGAUCCUCAAAAGCAAAGGCAUGACAAGAAGGUUAAUUAAAAAGAUGGACCUCCAAAAUAACAGUGAGUGCUUGCACGGUACCUCAAACACUGACCUAAAUCUGAUGUCCAGUAAAAAUUGGGAUGCCGCAUUGUCUCAUUAUUCAUUAUGAACACAUUCAUUCUUUCUCACUUCAAACAUCUAUGUUGAGGCUGGAAGUAAUUUUGCUCUGUUUCUCAGUUCCAAUAUCUUGUAACUUUUCAGUUCUUCUCAUGCUAGUAAUAGUGAUGCUGUAACCAACACCCAUCUAGCCAGAUAUAUUUUAAUAAAACAAUGUUCAAGCAAGCACCACGUACUUGUCAAUGCCAAUAUCGUAUAUCUGAUUGAUGCCAACAAUAUAUCCAUUCCCACAUAUUAGAGCAAAAAGACCAGAGAAUGCUUUAAGCAGAAGGGACCACUUUAUCAGGUGCGAGUUCUCAAUCAGAGCUCUAGCCACCCAUGAACCGUUGAUGAGCAAGAAUAAGUUCAAGUAAACUGGGGCAAGCAGGGAGAGACAAAACAUAAGAAAAACUAAAAGUGUUAUGAUCAGCUAAUUGGAAAUAACUGUGGCAGCAGGAAAAGAAUACUUACAAGGAGCCUAGAGAUGUUCCCUCUUAUUGUAUGAGGUCUUAAAAUCUCCAACAUGCAUCUUUAAACUCAGAGACUUUACUCACUAUAGGAUCAGAUCCAGCUGCUCCAACUCGAGCACAGGCCUAGCAGAUUGUGUACAUUCAAUUAUGGCACAAGUAAACUAAAAAGAAUCUAGACACGAGAAUGUCGUUAACGAAAGUGCGUGAUCAUGCAUCUCGACAGAUACGUAACAAACCAUUCAANNNNNNNNNNNNNNNNNNNNNNNNNNNNNNNNNNNNNNNNNNNNNNNNNNNNNNNNNNNNNNNNNNNNNNNNNNNNNNNNNNNNNNNNNNNNNNNNNNNNNNNNNNNNNNNNNNNNNNNNNNNNNNNNNNNNNNNNNNNNNNNNNNNNNNNNNNNNNNNNNNNNNNNNNNNNNNNNNNNNNNNNNNNNNNNNNNNNNNNNNNNNNNNNNNNNNNNNNNNNNNNNNNNNNNNNNNNNNNNNNNNNNNNNNNNNNNNNNNNNNNNNNNNNNNNNNNNNNNNNNNNNNNNNNNNNNNNNNNNNNNNNNNNNNNNNNNNNNNNNNNNNNNNNNNNNNNNNNNNNNNNNNNNNNNNNNNNNNNNNNNNNNNNNNNNNNNNNNNNNNNNNNNNNNNNNNNNNGUUUUGGCCAUCCCAUUGCUCAUGAACCGUUGAUGAGCAAGAAUAAGUUCAAGUAAACUGGGGCAAGCAGGGAGAGACAAAACAUAAGAAAAACUAAAAGUGUUAUGAUCAGCUAAUUGGAAAUAACUGUGGCAGCAGGAAAAGAAUACUUACAAGGAGCCUAGAGAUGUUCCCUCUUAUUGUAUGAGGUCUUAAAAUCUCCAACAUGCAUCUUUAAACUCAGAGACUUUACUCACUAUAGGAUCAGAUCCAGCUGCUCCAACUCGAGCACAGGCCUAGCAGAUUGUGUACAUUCAAUUAUGGCACAAGUAAACUAAAAAGAAUCUAGGACACGAGGAAUGUCGGUUAACGAAAGUGCGUGAUCAUGCAUCUUCCGACAGAUACGUAACUGAAGCUUUGUCAAAUAGUUGAUUGAGAAUUCUGCAUAAGGGAACUUUUGAUUGACUUUUUGAAACCUCGACUGUGAUUGUUCUUCUUAUUCAAGGUGCGUUAUGACAACCGACCAACGAGUUUUUUCCGGCUUGGGUUAAAUAAAACCCUCCUCAUCAAGUUGUCCAUUAUAUUUCUUUAGUUUGAUAUCAAGACACACUUUAGGUAUCGAAGCUGUUUAUUUUUUUGGCUAGUGAAAACUGCUGCUACACCAAAUCCAUGCAGUGAUGGAAAACCCUUAGUAGAGAACUGCUACCACCACCAAAUCCACUAUGAUGGAUAACUCUAGUACACAGGCCUAUACAAGAAGAUGGACAAUUUGAACAUUUUCCCCCCCCCCCCCCUCAUACAGCAAUUACACUUGAACUGUUUUCCCUCUUUUCUUUGGGCGUUGGGUCAACAAAUUACAUAGCUUCAUUAGGCAGUACCCCACCUAUUAGAGUCUUAAUGUUGAGCUGUGCACUUGCUCUAGGCAACAAGACAAGUAGGACCAUAUAUUCCAGUCAUAUCACAUCUCAUCCUAAUUUCUGGGCAGAACCCACCACCAACCCCUCGCCGUAUGGCACCAAUACUGCCAAAAGCUACAAGCUUAAGGGCAGCAUUUCAUCCAUUCCAUCCAAUUCCAUUAUUCUCAUCUUGCCACUUAAGCAAAUUCAAUGUUAUGUCGCCCAACUUGUCAUCUAGUGAAAUGAUUAAUAUCAUGUGAAGCGCAUUUUCCAAUUAAACGAGUGGACCACGAACUCACUCUUUCUUCAUCCCGGGAGAAAUCGACAUUAUUUCAGCUUAUCAAUCGCACCUAAGAGCCCAACCGACAAAGAUCGCGGCUAGUUCAAAGAUCACACGGACCUGCACAGCUAGCUAGCACGCCGGAAGCUCCGCAGUCAAAAUCGGCGUGGACCAGAAGAGCGUCACCUGGAUAAGGUUCCUCCCAUCGGAUCUUCUCGGGGCAGGUCUCGACCGGCUUUUCGGACUGGACGCGCCGAGCGACGGCGAACUCUGCGAGAACUUGAAUUGGAGAACGGUGGAGCAUUGGCACGUCGGCUUGCCGCCGCGCCCAUCACGACGGCGAGACGAGGCGGAGCUGCGUAGAGGGUUGAUGGCCGGAAUACGGAGGGAAGACGGAGGAGUCACCGAGAGCUCCAUAUGAGAGAGAGAGAGAGAGAGAGAGAG